CUUGUUGUAAGUGAGCUAGAGCUCACAUCUAAAAUAUUUUGUGUAUAAAAAAAUCGAGGGAAAAAAAUAACAUUUUUUCGGCUGGUAUUGUUUCGUAAGUGCUUCAUUGAGAUUCAACAUUUUGUUGAACAACCAGCAGCAGCAGCAGCGGCA
rnacentral:sRNA from 1 species